UGCGUAGGACGUGGGAUCACAUUAGGCACCUACACUGAUGACGCAGCUGUUUGGAUAUAUUUAUUCUCUUGAGGGAGAGGGCCUGAGUUGAGGGGUCGCCUUCAUGUUGCUGACCGGAGCCUGAUUGUGUUCAACUGUGUUACCUUCUGAACAGUAUCUCAGACUGUUUUCCACAGGGUCGGGCCGGUGAUGUUCUCGCUCAUUCCCCCGCCGUCCUCCAGUGGAGAGGAAGUCCCAAGAAAGGAGCAGGUUAUGCAUCCAGCCACACAAGGAGGAGACUGGUGACCUUUCCAAUGUCCCAAAACCACCAGAUGGGUCAUUUCCAAUUCCUCCUGCUUCCAUUUACCCACUGGCUUGUGGCUGAGAAUACCCUGGACUCACGGCAGGGCUGGAAAGGAGAAUCCAAAAAUCUCUAUAGUUACUUCACGAUGAGAAUAACAGGUGAGGUUGAAGGAGGCAAAAACGAUUUGAUUUGCAUAUGAGCUGCCAGAUUCAGGAGUCACACAAGAAGAGCAUCAACUGCCAUGCAAAUGAGAAACAAAUGAGAUUCAAAACUGGGCUGAGGUAAAGGAGUGGUCAGAGAGGGUAGAGCACAGGAGGGGUUUUGUCUAUGCAGCACAAAUGGUAACAUCAGCUAUCCUGCCAUUCGUCCAUACAGCCGUUUGUACUUCUGACUCCAGGCUGAAAGGUCUGUCAAGUUUUCUCCACAACAGCAACAGCAGCUCGCUGUGGAAGGACAAACCAUGACAUCAGAAUAGUAGAAGCAGCCAUGAAGACAAUAGUUCUCUGUGCAGGAGAAGAGCCGAGGCGUGGCCUGGCCGUACAGAGGCUCCUGUCAGUGGAGCAGCGGGCCUCAGCAGCUGUCUCAACCUCUGUCUGUAGCUCUGUCACAUACACUCGUUCAAUCCAUCAUGAAAGCUGACAUGGCAUUAGAACAAAGGAUCAACAGAUUUAUGUUAAAAUCCCUUUACCCCUAUGUAUCACUCCUCUCAAUCUCCCAGUGUGUUUGUGUGUCUCUGUGUGUGUGUGUGUGUGUGUGUGUGUGUGUGUGUGUGUGUGUGUGUGUGUGUGUGUGUUUGUGUCUGUGUGAAAGAGCUUCUCUCUGUUCAUGCUCAGUACCAGCUUAGGAACGCAGGGACGGAGGUGGAGUAGGAGGGAAGCCCCAGAGAAAGAAACAUAGUUCGAACAAACUGGCAAAACAAAGACCCAAUGGACAAAGUGGCCCCCACUGACAGGAGGUCUGGGGUGAUAGUAGCAUAGAUAAAUAUGUGUGUGUGUGUGUGUGUGUGUGUGUGUGAGUGUGCAUAUGUAAACACAUAACACAAAACAUGCAGCCUGCCCAUAUGAUAUCGCUCCAUUUACUCUGUAUUUAUUUGUCUUCUCACAUUUGCCUGAGGAGAUAGAAAAAGGCUUUCUAGACAUGUAGCCGCUGUGCGUCUUGUGCCAGAUAAUCUAAGCCCCUCCGGUGGCGAGCCUUCGUCUUCAAACAGCCGUAAAGGUUUACAGGCCGUGACAGAGAGGAGCGAAGAAGCUCACCACGCAGCUGAAUUUCACACGGGGAGAGGAGAGGGCUGUACGUGAUGGAGUGGAGCCGCUGGAGCCUCACAGACACACAGUCCCUCAGGGACGCACCACCUGGGUUGUCAAAAGGAGUCUGGCCGAGGCCUUCAAAAAAGAAAACAGCUCAAUACGGGAUAUACAAACAGCGGUUGAGCAUCAUUGAGCGUGUAUGAGCAGCGUGUAUCAACACAAAACCCACCUGCCCUUCAGUGGAAGUCUAAUGACAACAAAUGCAACAAAGGCCCUGUGUGGUACGCCCAGCCUCGAGGGGCCGCCACAGCCGUCUAUUCAGCCUGCAUUCACCUGUGAGACGGAUUCACUGGGUUAUUAAAAGCUCUCAUACACAUGGGUUGAUGGCAUUAUGAAUUUGCAUU